rnacentral:rRNA from 1 species
GACGAACGCUGGCGGCGUGCUUAACACAUGCAAGUCGAACGGAAAGGCCCUGCUUUUGUGGGGUGCUCGAGUGGCGAACGGGUGAGUAACACGUGAGUAACCUGCCCUUGACUUUGGGAUAACUUCAGGAAACUGGGGCUAAUACCGGAUAGGAGCUCCUGCUGCAUGGUGGGGGUUGGAAAGUUUCGGCGGUUGGGGAUGGAAUCGCGGCUUAUCAGCUUGUUGGUUGGGUAGUGGCUUACCAAGGCUUUGACGGGUAGCCGGCCUGGGAGGGUGACCGGCCACAUUGGGACUGAGAUACGGCCCAGACUCCUACGGGAGGCAGCAGUGGGGAAUAUUGCACAAUGGGCGGAAGCCUGAUGCAGCAACGCCGCGUGCGGGAUGACGGCCUUCGGGUUGUAAACCGCUUUCGCCUGUGACGAAGCGUGAGUGACGGUAAUGGGUAAAGAAGCACCGGCUAACUACGUG